GGAGAAAAGCAGGGGAUCGAAAGACCUUAUGCUUUUGGAGCGGCCGAUGUCUGAUUAGCUAGUUGGUAGGGUAAUGGCUUACCAAGGCGACGAUCAGUAGUUGGUCUGAGAGGACGACCAGCCACACUGGGACUGAGACACGGCCCAGACUCCUACGGGAGGCAGCAGUGGGGAAUUUUGGACAAUGGGCGCAAGCCUGAUCCAGCAAUGCCGCGUGAGUGAAGAAGGCCUUCGGGUUGUAAAGCUCUUUCAGUUGAGAAGAAAAAGUCGUGACUAAUAAUCAUGAUUCAUGACGGUAUCAACAGAAGAAGCACCGGCUAACUACGUGCCAGCAGCCGCGGUAAUACGUAGGGUGCAAGCGUUAAUCGGAAUUACUGGGCGUAAAGGGUGCGCAGGCGGUUCUGUAAGUCAGAUGUGAAAUCCCCGGGCUUAACCUGGGAACUGCGUUUGAAACUACAAAGCUAGAAG
rnacentral:rRNA from 1 species